AGGAAAUUUAAGCAAUGUAUAGAAUCUAUUCUGACUUUUUAAUAUCAUGUAAUACGUAACAGACAUUAUUAUGUAAGAUGUUUUGCUGACAAAGAAUGUAGGUACGUGACAAGAACUUGCUUUACUUUGCUAAGUCACCCUAGUCUUGCUGAUUUGUGUCAUGUGCCCACCCAGGACCAGAUGGUGUUCGAUAAGGAGGAAUGGGCCUCAAGGCCUGCUGUGAUUGGUCCAAGCUUGGGUGGAGUAAUUCUUUGUAAAAUGCAAUAUUAGGGGCCAUCUAUGCCAUGUUCGAGAGGCAGAUGGAGCUCCCUUGUAAUUACUUCAAUUUGGUGCCGAAACCCGGGAUCUGAAAACGAUUGGAACGGAAUCAGGACAGGAACGGAGGACUGGAGACCAGAUUGGCGCCAUUCAAAAAAGGUGAGAACAUUUGUGUCUCUGUCUGCUCUCCCCUCCUCCGCUCCUAAGACCCUCCGUCCCACUAUCGUGAGUACAGAUCCCAAGAACCUGAACAGUUGUUUUAUGUUAUAAUAUCUGUUUGGAUAUGUAUGUGUGAGUGUAUGUAGAUGCUGGCACAUUGCCACAUCAGCACGAGAGAGGCCCUUUAUGGCUGAAUGAUUGUGCUGCCCCAAGCAUGCUGGGGGCAGUGGAAUAAAAAGUAAGAGGACCCUAUCGUCCUCAGACACGAAUGUUUCCUAUCUUCUCAGUCUGUCACGUAAACUGUCAUUAACAUUGUCUGCAUAGUGGAAGGACAAAUAUAAGGAUAAGUGUUGGUGAAGAGUAGUUUCUCUGCUGGUCUACCCUUGCUUGUCAAUACCGGUCUGUGGGCAACCGAUUGUGGCUCUCCCCACAGAACAGGAGCGAUAUAAUCUCUGAUUACCUCCUGGCCUGCUAUCUGACAGCUCUGUGUACACUGGUUUGAGUCUGUUUCUCGCUACACUGAAGGGCGUGUCCUGAAGCUGCAGACUGGCGUCUCUCUGUGUCUCAUGAAAAAUCAUACUUCUUACUUAGAUAAUCCCUUACUUGCAUGGUUUAACCUAGAGGACAUUAGAGGACAAAUAUUGUUUGGCAUCUUCGCCUUGCUGAUUUUCAUUUGGCUCUGUUGGAAAAUUUAGAGGGACCAAAAAGCGGGGAUUCGCUGUGUGGGACUUCCCCUAACAGCCAAAAGCCAUAGAAUAUAGUGCUGUGAAAAACUGAGAGAGGGGUGCAAGAGUCCCCUCCACCAUAGCCGGGCUAUGGGAAACAGUCACAGCAAACGUGGAUUUGGCUGAUCACCAAAUCAGAGUAAUGGACGUCCUGAGACUCCUCGUACCCCACAGGAGGAGGUGAGUAAGAAAUAUGGCAAAUGGGUCAGCCGGCAUUUACCCAAGUGGGGCAGGCUGACUAGCGGGAUGGAUUGUGGGAUCCCAAAAGAGGGAACCUUUGAAUUAUCCCGCUGGGCAACCCUCUACAAAAAAUAAAACAAAAUUCACUGAGCCAAAUGAAUAGGCAGCUUGGAGUAGGUGGAUGGUAGAAUCUUAUAAAGACAGCAAAAAGCCCAAAGUAUUUUUUUUUACAUCAGAAACAAGAACAGGAGGGGCAAAUCAGCAAGGAGGGGAGGUACAGUCAGAUGAGAAAGAGGGGGAGGAAGGGUUUUGUGUGGAGUGGAAGGUGAGCUUGUCAUCACUCCCAAAAUAACCCAAGGUGAGAGAGAUGAAAGGGCUGAGGAAUAUCGCUUGCCUCAAGCCUCAGCCUAACUUGUUAGAGAGCAGUUCAUGCCUGGUACAAGUGAGUUUAGCCAGCUCAAGACAGAGAAAUAUACAGGAGGUACAGGAGAAAAUGGUCCAGAGGGUGAUGGUAGUUGACACACCAGCAACCCCCAGAGGGGUAAGUUUAGGGGGAGGAACAAUUGGGAGCCCAGAAAUGUGAAGUGCUACAAUUGUGUGAAACAGGGCCACAUUGUAAGAAAUUGUCCAGCUCCAAAAAGGGGGGCAGGAUAGCGCCUGACAGGGAGGGCUUCCAGUGUUACCAGUCAUCUUGAUGUUAUGAGCCACAGCAGUGGUUCAUUCCUGUUUGCAUUCGGUUCAUGUAUUGUAUGUUAUAUUUCUGUUUGUAUGUCAGGAUUUCUUAUGUACUUUAGAGUGCUAUACUUUUGUUUACUAGUCUGGUAACUACAGUGACAUAUUUUGUGGGUCUUCCCACUAGCUGCAUUCGGUUCAUGUAUUGUAUGUUAUAUUUCUGUUUGUAUGCCAGGAUUUCUUAUGUACUAAUUUAGAGUGUUAUACUUUUGUUUACUAGCCUGGUAACUACAGUGUCAUAUUUUGUGGGUCUUCCCACUAGCCUUAGUUUUGUGUUUUUGUACUGGCGGCAGCGCCGCACAUAACUUGUUUGUUUAGUUCUCAUGGUAUAGUCUCCUUAGCUGUAGCUAGUUUUCCCCUCACUCGCAGUCUCAGGUGGUGCCUUGUAACCUUGUAAGACUGGAGGGCAUCGGAGUUUGGGCGAACCUAAUUCGCCCAUUCAAACGCGGCUGCCUUGGGCAGAAGACUAGCACCUCAGGCACCAUCCGACCACUGGGAGGAGUAAUGGAGUUAGGGUUAGAAAAGGUCUUGCUGCGGUCAUUCAUACUGACCGCAGCUUCACUCAUGAGUACUGGAACUCCCCAGUUGUCACACAUUCCACAGAGUUCCAGGGUCUCAAUUUGUAACAUUGUACUCGUUUCCUAACACUCGGAGAGUAGGGGGGUGAUGCCUUUGUCCACUUGACCCUCUCUGAAAUGCCUUUUUACUCAGUGGAGUAUCUGGUGGACAGUGGAGCAGCCCAUGUUCUCAAGAGAGAGAGUAUGUCAAUGGAUACUCUAAUUACCCUGCAAAAUCAGGCAGAUCCCCAAACGCUUGGUAUAUGGGGGAAGGCAGGUUGCAAAUAAAUAAAUAUUGUUUGGAAACAUGAGGAUGGUCGAUUGUGUGCACAUCUCCCUUCAUAUGUUUCCAAAGGGGGAAUGAUUGAUAUGAUUGCUAAAUUUUGGUUUGCACAGUGUUUGAAAUACUUUAUAACAGAAUGGUUAUGUUCUCCUUGUAGAUAGAGGCGUGGCCUGUUGCCAAGGUAACGGCUGCAGUAACAGCAAAGAAAUUGAUAUCUGAAUAUAUGUGCAGGUAUGGCCUACAUGAAACGGUUGAGAGAGCAAAUAGCGUAUUAAAAAAAAUAAAUGUCUAAGAUCUGUGAGCAAACAAAACUUACAUGGGUACAAGCUUUACCAGUAGCUCUUUUUGCAAUGAGGUAUACCCCGAAGGGAUAACAUGGACUUUCAUCAUUUGAGAUACUGUUUGGCAGGCUGCCACUCAAAUUACAUGGACAGUACGCUUCCCUUACUGACUACGUUGUUCAGCUUCAUAAGCCACUGACUAAUUUGCAUGGCAAAGUGUUUUCUUCUUUACCAGAUCCACAAGACACAUCUGGAACCCCGAAUUGAUGGCCCAUACCAGGUGCUAUUGACCACAGUGACCUCCGUCAAGGUGGAGAGGAAAGUACGCUUCUCACUGUAAGAAAAUUAACUUUCAGGUCAAUGAUGCAAACUGGUCCUAAAAGCAUGGGGCCACCGGGGAGAAGAGAACUGAAUGGACUGUUAAGAUACACUUGUUUUUCUGCCUGCUUGUUUGUACUUUAUAUCAUCAGUGUGUGCAGGUGAAAGCAGAAAAGCAAAAGAACUCUACAGUAUAUGGCUUCUACAUCAGCAGACAGCUAAGGAGCUGAACGCCACUGACUGUUGGAUCUGUUCUUAUGUUCCUGCUAACCAUAAAGGAAUCCCUUUGAUUGGUAUCCCUAUCUCGAUGAAUGAUCUUAACCUCACAGAUUAUAGCUAUAAUGUUGAUAUAGACAUAAAUCACACUGCUCACAAUGCUCUUUCAGACCUAGGAAUAUAUUUAGAAAUUGCUGGUAUAAUCUCUCUGCCCACUAUGUGUAUAGGGCUUAUGUUUAUUAACCACGUGGCCGAACUAAAAGGUCACCUAGUCAACUUACCUAAGGUAUACGUUGGAGAAACAAAUUGUAAAAAUGCUGCCUUAGUGUUUAACAUGGAAUACAAUGAAACGUUAUGUGACAAGGUGAACGGUAACUGUAACAAUCAAUGUUGGUGUGCAAAUAUGAAAGCUCUUUGUGCCCCUAGGUGUGCCUCUCCUAACCAGACGGAUGAGGAUGAUUGGGAUUGUAAGACCCAAGUGCACAAUAAUAUGGUAUGGUUUCAGAGCUGGUUGGGAAACCAUGGUAAGAUAAUCCCUAGGGUGCUGAAGCAAGGCCUAUACUAUAUUUGUGGAAAUAGGGCAUACUCAUGGCUUCCUAUGGGAGCAUGGGGGAACUGCACUAUAGGAAGAGUUGUGCCAGCCAUAAGACAGCGUGAGAACAUCUCUUUUACCAAUAUGAUAGAAACAAGCCCUAGAGAGACUAGAUACAAGAGAGAAUUGUUUACUGCAGCAGAUAAAGCCUGGAUGUGGUCCCUGCCUGGACAGGCUGGGGAAUUGAAUUAGCAAAUAAGUUGAAUAAAUAUGCGAAUAUUAUUGAUGGGAUAAUUAAUGAGACCACAAGUGGCAUCCAUGCUAUCAAUGAAGAAAUGGCUCAAAUUAGGAAGGUGACCCUACAAAAUAGGAUGGCUCUCAUUUACUUGUUAGCUAUGGAGGGAGGAACGUGUGCUGUUAUAUGGGAGGAAUGAUGUACCUGAAUUGAGGACUCACAUGACCCCAUAGAAGAGCACAUGAAUAAAGUAAAGGAAUUACAGAAACAAGCCAGAGACAUAUCCAAGGAGGGAUGGAAUCCCUUCUCCUGGAUGGGGACAAUUGGUGUAUGGUUUAACAAUCUAUUAUCAGAUUUAAUGAAACCCAUAGUGGUAGUGAUAGGAUUGAUUGUAUUUCUUUUGAUCGCUUGGAAAUUAUUAAUGUGCUGUAUUUCUCAUUUCAGGAAAAAUGUGGAUUCGCUCGCUUAAUAGGAAGAAUAAUAACAGCCACAGAGAUGACCGUCUGACGGCCUAGCCCAACUGCCCAUCUCUUCUGAGAGACCCCUCAGUUGUUUUAAGAGUUGGGUGGAAGACAUCAUCUCUGAAAGAGGGUUCCGCAGGUGCACUUUGACAGUUUGGACACCACCCCAGAGGGAGUUUAUCCCGAGAAGUGAUUUCGACGAGUCAGUCAUUCCGAUUCCAGCGAAUUCACCGAGUGGUCUCUGUGCCCUAGUGCACCUCUGGCUGCUGUUAUUAUUCUUACAGCUAGAUAGAUAGGUGUGUGAAUGCUUCAAUAAAGGUGUGUGAAUGCUUAGCAGAAUAGCAACCGCGAGGCAGUACUUAGUCAGUUCUUCCUCUUGCGUACAUCCUGUCUCAAUUGGUACUUUGUCACAUAACAAAACCUGGGGGCAUCAGAGUACUGGGUGGACCUAAUUCGCCCGGGAAAAGCGGCUGCUACAGGACAAGACUUUGACCUGCAGGUACCAAUUGACUGCGGGGUGUGGCAACAGAGUCAGGGUAGGCCCAGGUGCAUCUGUGGCUAUAUCAUCCCCAGUCACAGUCACACCACCUUCUUAGCAUUAGUAGUACUGCCAUUGUUACCUUUUAGUUUAUGUUUUUAUAUAUGUGUGAUAAUAAAAUUAUCAAAAGGGUGAGAAUUGUUAAGGAAAUUUAAGCAAUGUAUAGAAUCUAUUCUGACUUUUUAAUAUCAUGUAAUACGUAA